GAUGAAGAACGUAGCGAAAUGCGAUAAGUAAUGUGAAUUGCAGAAUUCAGUGAAUCAUCGAAUCUUUGAACGCACAUUGCGCCCGCCAGUAUUCUGGCGGGCAUGCCUGUCCGAGCGUCAUUUCAACCAUCAAGCCCCGGGCUUGUGUUGGGGACCUGCGUCCGACGCAGGCCCUGAAAACCAGUGGCGGGCUCGCUGUCCACACCGAGUGCAGUAGAUUACUCUUCGCUCAGGGCGUGCAGCGGGUUCCGGCCGUGAAACCCCCUACUUUUAAAGGUUGACCUCGGAUCAGGUAGGAAUACCCGCUGAACUUAAGCAUAUCAAUAAGCGGAGGA
rnacentral:misc_RNA from 1 species